rnacentral:misc_RNA from 1 species
GAAAUGCGAUAAUUAAUGUGAAUUGCAGAAUUCAGUGAAUCAUCGAGUCUUUGAACGCACAUUGCGCCCUCUGGUAUUCCGGAGGGCAUGCCUGUCCGAGCGUCAUUGCUGCCCUCAAGCACGGCUUGUGUGUUGGGCCCUCGUCCCCCCCGGGGACGGGCCCGAAAGGCAGCGGCGGCACCGCGUCCGGUCCUCGAGCGUAUGGGGCUUCGUCACCCGCUCGUUAGGCCCGGCCGGCGCCAGCCGACCCCCCCUCAAUCUUUAACCAGGUUGACCUCGGAUCAGGUAGGGAUACCCGCUGAACUUAA